UAUUAACUACCAGGUAGAAAUGAAAAACAGAAGUGUUUCGGCCCUCCAGGACCGGAAUUGAAGAACCCUGCUCUAAACCGCUCCGGGGACAAACAAACUCUGCUUCCUUGUUUACAAUCGUCCACAUGGCUGGGAGAACCUAUUCAAGUAAAGUUAAGUAAAUGCAUUUCGAAAAUGGAAAAAAAACGAUAUAUUAUUAGCUAACUAGCUACAGUGCAGGCUAACUCAAAUGAGCUGCUAACGUAACGUUAGUUAGCUAGCUAACUAGCCAACUUGACAUGCUAUAUAGCUAGCUAGCUAAGUGAAUUAAAUACCACCAGCUACCUAACUUUAUUAGCUAGCUAUCUUGAUGUAAUUAUCAUUGUAAAAAACAAACUCCAAAUGCAUUUGUAGGUAACGUUAGCUAGCUAACUGCCAUGGAGGAGGGUGAACGGAUAGCAGCCGCAACUGUCAAAGUGAGAGAGUAGGGUGUUCUGGAUAGGGCAGGUACUUUUGUAUAGUUCCAGUCCAUAGAAGUGAGGACGGAGAUAAUAGUAACAUAAUAUUCAGUGCUGUGUAAUUUGAAUAUAAUGAAGUCAGUUUCUUGUGAGGUUUUCUGUCCUCAGAUACAGAGAGCUGUGAAAGCUUGUCUGCAGAUGAAGAGGUCCCAAUGAAGAGCAGUGGUUCUCAGUCCUGGUCCUGGGGACUCAAAGGGGUGCACAUUGUUGUUUUUGCCUUAGUGCUACACAGCUGUUUUAAAAUGAUCAACUCAUCAUCAAGCUUCAAGUUAUAUUUAUGUAUUCAUUUGUGAUGCUAUCCUUGAUAUGAUCCUGCUGUUGUCACAUGCUACACAUGCAUCUAUCUAUCCAAUGUUAUCAUGAUUUGUUAUUAGGGAUAUUAUACUUUAGUAAUCCACAAUGACCUGGUAAUGUAAAAGUCUAAUAAUGACAUUAUCUUCCAUAUUCCUACAGAUACCUUGUAACUGGAGAUUCCUUUAAAACGAUUGCCUACAGUUACUGUGUAGGGCACUGCAAGGUUGGGUGACCAGGGCCAUCUGGGACUGCCUCCUGGGGGGAAUUCAGGCGUGUGAAGGCUACCUGUGUCCUGCAUAACUUCAUGGACCAGGAGGGAACCUGCAGCUCGCCGCCAUGUGCCAGAGGAGAGGUCUGCUGCUCUGCAGGAUGUUUCAAGGAUGGGGGCCAACAACACAGCGCGGGAGGUAAUCCGUGUGCGGGAGAUCUUUCCCUCCUACUUCUUUCGAAGAGGGUGCUGUUCCCUGACAACACCAUAGACUACACUAUGCACAACCAAAGGCUCUUUUAAGAGCCAUCCACAUGGCAAUAAGAGUAUUCUUCCAUUUACUUAGCUAUGUCAACUGUAGUUAUUCAAUUCCCAGUUUCUUUCCCUUUGAUUUCUACUUCUCAGGUGAGGGUGCUGUUCAGGUAAGGGUGAUAUAACCCACACCUACACACUCGUGUAUCAAUCUGGUUGAUGGAUUGUCAUGUGCAGUAAGCAGGCUCAGGUGUAUAACUGUGGCUCCUUCCACCUUCAAAGAAUAGGCAAGAGGACCAACCAUGGCGAAUAGUAAGACACUUCAUUAUUUCUAUUUAUAUAACUACGCUAUAUUGUUUGUCCUCGUGUGUCUGCAUGUUUUUCAGUAUAAAGUACUCUGCAGCCACUUAGUGUGGACACCAGGUGAGGCACAGAGAUUCCUGUUGAACACUGUCUCUUUAACUACCUUAUUUUCUCCAUAACAGUCUCUCUCCUUCACUUCAUCCGUCUUCUCCCUAAAUCCUCUAGGUUAUAUCAGCUGUGUCGGUGAACCCCUCCCACAUCUGAACUGGCUACAUAUAGGGCACAGCAUGAUCAGAGGUGUGUUUUGAUGUGAAAGAGGAUGCCAACCCCCAGUCCUGUCAUCGCCACCUCAACCGCUCUUGGGCCAACUGGGGGUCCAAGGCUGGUUAAGAGACAUUUAUGUAAUUGUGAUGAAUUGAGAGAAUAUGAAGUUUAGUAGCACUGUAAUUCAUUAAUCAUAUGCUGCCUUCCCUGCUCCUCCAUUCUUACCGCUUUCCCUUUCUGUCUUUUACACUCGUUCUCACACCUCUCUACCCACCUCCUCUUUCUUCCUCUGUUUUUAUAAUGCACACCAGAUGUGCACUGAAGUACAGAUUGAACUUGUAUUUAAAUUAUAAUAUUUAUAAUGCAUGUAUUAUAUAUUUAUAACACUUGGAUAAUUAACUUCUAUCAAUAAAGCGGUUCACAUUC